rnacentral:rRNA from 1 species
AGCCCAAUUGCUAGCUCCCCUCCUAUAAUGCAUUAAUCCAUAUCUAUACCCCCUCAUAACCUCCCUCACCUUAUUAAACCAUUUUUCCUCCUUAGUACGGGAGACAGAAAAGGACACCGAAGCAACAGCGAUAGUACCGCAAGGGAAUGCUGAAAGAGAAAUGAAACAAUUAAUUAAGCCCAACAAAGCAGAGAUUUAUCCUCGUACCUUUUGCAUCAUGAAUUAGCAAGUUACACCAAGCAAAGUGCACUUUAGUCUGUUUCCCCGAAACCAAGUGAGCUACUCCAAGACAGCCUUCUGGGCAAACCCGUCUCUGUGGCAAAAGAGUGGGAAGAGCUUUGAGUAGAGGUGACAAAUCAACCGAACUUAGUUAUAGCUGGUUGCCUAAGAACAGAAUUUAGUUCAGCCCUUAAUAUUCUUCUCUUAAUUAUACAAUUCAAGAAAAUUAAGGAGUCAAUCAAAGGGGGUACAGCCCCUUUGAACAAGACACAACUUUAACAGUUGGGUUAAGAUCAUAUCCAUAAAGGACCGUGUUCUAGUUGGCCUAAAAGCAGCCAUCUUAUCUGAAAGCGUUAAAGCUCAAACACAACCUUACCCUAUUAUCCUGACCACUCCCUCUUACCCCUCUAACCUAUAUUAGGCCUUUCUAUGCCCCCAUAGAAGUGAUAAUGCUAAUACGAGUAAUAAGAGAUUAAGAAUCUCUCCCAGCACAAGUAUACAUCAGACCGAACCCCCACCGAAAAUUAACGGCCCCAAACAAAGAGGGUAAUGAGAUAUUUUAUAACCUACUAGAUAUCCUCUCAACCUGUCCCGUUGACCUUACACCAGAGUGCACGCACGGAAAGACAUAAUGGGGAAGAAGGAACUCGGCA